rnacentral:rRNA from 1 species
GAUGAACGCUGGCGGCGUGCCUAAUACAUGCAAGUCGAGCGAACAGACGAGGAGCUUGCUCCUCUGACGUUAGCGGCGGACGGGUGAGUAACACGUGGAUAACCUACCUAUAUGACUGGGAUAACUUCGGGAAACCGGAGCUAAUACCGGAUAAUAUAUUGAACCGCAUGGUUCAAUAGUGAAAGACGGUUUUGCUGUCACUUAUAGAUGAAUCCGCGCCGCAUUAUCUAGUUGGUAAGUUAACGGCUUACCAAGGCGACGAUGCGUAGCCGACCUGAGAGGGUGAUCGGCCACACUGGAACUGAGACACGGUCCAGACUCCUACGGGAGGCAGCAGUAGGGUAUCUUCCGCAAUGGGCGAAAGCCUGACGGAGCAACGCCGCGUGAGUGAUGAAGGUCUUCGGAUCGUAAAACUCUGUUAUUAGGGAAGAACAAAUGUGUAAGUAACUAUGCACGUCUUGACGGUACCUAAUCAGAAAGCCACGGCUAACUACGUG